CUAUACUCCUGAUAUCACACUCAGAACUCAUGAGCAGACCUCGAAUUAUCUACCGAAGUAUGAAUACUCGAUUUUUGAUUGGAGUCCUGUGAGGUGAACAGAUUGGGGUAUGAAAAAUAUGGAUCAUCCUCCAAAGAGGUCAAUCGUUGAGGCACAUGAGCAGGUUGAUGCUCAGGCAUUUGCUCCUUUGAAACAGGUGACUCGUCAUCCAUUCUGGGCACUUCAUGAGAAGAAAGGGAUGGUGCAUCAAAUCCCAAUUUCGGCUCGUAAAUGAUGUUCAUAUGAUCAAAUGAAUCUUGAUGAUCAAAUAGUGGAUUUUCGGUGACAUCCUGUCGACGAGAGCCUUCCCCCUUGAAUUCAUUUUCACCACUCUCAGAAGCCCUGCUGUUCCUUUUUGUUACAAGAUCUGCAAUUCGAACUUGUGCAAGGUUUGCAGCCGCACGCGCAGCUGCUGCAGCCACUUCAGCAGUUUCAGCAGCAGCCUGAGCAGCAGCCAGUACAUCCUGCAAGUCUACAUUGCCCUCACUGUUGCUCUUGGAAAAGGUGGAAGCUGACUCACUUUUCUUUGUAGAUAAUGGAGCAGAAGAUAAUGAAGAUGAAGGAGCUCUCUCACUUUGCCUCGCUGAUACUGAAACAGAUGAAAAUAAUGGGGGCGAGGCUGCCAGCUCAGUUUGCUUGGCAGACACUUGAUCAGAAGAAAAUGGAGAAGAAACAAAUGGGAUGAACUGUUUGUCUUCCCCCAAUGCAACUGAAACAUCACACUGCGUGUAGGGGGAAGCAAUUAAUGGCUCUGGGUUAUUUACUCCAGGCUCCACACGAGGAAAGUCUGACAUCUCACUUGAAGUAGAUUUGUUGACCUUCUGAUCAACUUCAUAGUCAUGUGGCGGAGAGGAUGGUACAUGUGGAACAACUUCUGGAGCUGAGGGAAUAUUGGAUGUUGAAUGGACAGAAAUUUUUGGAACUUCAGGAAGAUCUAAGGAAUCAAAGCCAUCUGAAUCCAACUCUUCAUGAGACUCUUCUACAUGGUUGGAAGAUAAUGCUUCGUCGUGUUUCUCUUUGGGAAGGGGCAACGUAGACCCAUAGGUGAAGUGGUUUGGUCCAUUCUAAAGAAAAAGAUGUGAUAUUUAUAUUAGUCAGUGCAGAAAUAUUAAGAAAUAAUGGAAUAUAAUCGCUUCAACUCACCAACAAAUCCUCGUGUGGUUUCAGAAACUCAGUUUCAGAGGCUGAUGGAUCCCAAUCUAACUCAUGCUCUUCAGCAAUUUCCUUCAGCAACUUCAAUUUUGCUUCCACUGAAGGAGCCCGAACUGACAAUAGUUCAAUUAUCUAUAGGAGUAACUUGUUAGGAAAAAGAUUGCACCAAAUAAAAAAGGAAGAAUCAAAAUUCGAUUACUGGCACUUGGAAGUUCAUAUAACCUGGCGGUUGACUCCACAAUCUGGCAUGAGCUCCGUGGCAGCUGCAACAAAUUCCUUUCCAUAUUUGGCUGUAAACAACAUCUGAACUUGCUGCAAUUCAGGUAAGUCUGCGCAUCUUGGUGCAGCAAAACAAAUGCUCGAAAUUGCUUCUUUAAGGUCAAGAGGACAUUCCCUGAACAAUUUUAUGGCAGGUCAGACCAGGAGCUCUAUACCGAACAGGCAUAUAAAACUCAAAAGUAAACCAAACUCUAUAAAUAAUUGAAGGAAAUAUUUACUAAAUAUACUGAUAGUAUAUAUGUAUUAACUCAAUGGGAUCAACCAGAAUAGAAUUCUAUCUCUCAACUUAUGGAAUUAAGUAAGAAUUUUAAAUAGAAGCAACUUGGUAUUUGUACAGCAGAUUAGUUUGAGUUCUAUAACACAAACAACUACAACCAAAAUCUGGGCGACGAGAGAAUGAAGUAUCACAUGUUAUUUGUAUCGCAUGUUUAAACCAUGGUUUCAAGUGCUGGCAGAGAAACUAUGCCAGGCCAGCACCAGCAGCUGACAUAGAUCAGCCUGGCACCUAUUUAACUCUAUUUUUAAUUAAAAAUUAAAUCUUUUUUUUUUCAUUUUGCAUGGCACAGCACAUAUUAUUCCAGUGGAUCACUAGCAUGCCUACUGGCACAUCAAUACUUAAAACCUUGGUUUAGACAUGUGAUGAUUCCCAUGAAGAUCCACCAAUGAUGUAUCGGAACAAGCAAAAUUUCAACCUUUAACACUAAAGGAAACAAUGCUUGGAAGUGGACAUUACUCAAUCAAAAUUUGCAAUUUUUAAUGAGAAAAUUAUGCUAAUAUUAUGUAGAACAUGCAGAACUUUUGUUAUCAGAAUAUAGCAAAUAAGAUAGAAAUGCAAAAGAUGCCAAUGAAACCAUUUUGAAAGUUCCAAGGAACCCUAUUUGUUGGUCACUAAAGCAAAUAAAGUUACUCUUCUUCAGCUUCUACUAUAUUUCAUGAUUCUUCUAUUUCACAAGAUGAUCACUUUGAUAUGAAUGUCAGUUAUAUCACAUAUAGCAUGGAAAUGUUCCAUGUGUUAGACUUGAGAAAACUUGUUAUAGGUUGGCAACAUCAGAAUAUGUCUUGGACCUGUAUUUGUUAGUCACUAAGGCAAAAAAAAGUUACUCCUCUUCAAAUUUUAUACAUUCCAUACUUCUUCAAUUUCACAAGAUCCGCAUUUUGAUAUGAAUGUCAGUUAUAUCAUGCAUAGUAUGUCAAUAUUCCAUGUGUUAGAGUUGAGAAAAUCUGUAUGCAUACGUAUAGCGAGUACUGCUAGCUUUCUACCUUGUUAUAGGUAGUCAACAUCAGCAGGUCUCACUUUUCAUCAAAAUGGUUCUAAUAAUACUUAAGCCAUCAAUUUCUAUUAUUUAAUAGUGAUUAAAAAUAUAUUACCAGAGUUAAAAAACAACAAUGAGUUGUUACUAAUGUCAUAUAUAGCAUAUAAAUGCUUGAAACUACUAAUGUCAGAACAAGUUCUGCAAAAUANNNNNNNNNNNNNNNNNNNNNNNNNNNNNNNNNNNNNNNNAAGCCUUGCAACAUGUGGAACAAAGAGGCAGUCUCCAGAAACAACAAUUUAGUUGCUUUGGUGCAGACCGCAAGCAGAACUAGCUAUACUCCUGAUAUCACACUCAGAACUCAUGAGCAGACCUCGAAUUAUCUACCAAAGUAUGAAUACUCGAUUUUUGAUUGGAGUCCUGUGAGGUGAACAGAUUGGGGUAUGAAAAAUAUGGAUCAUCCUCCAAAGAGGUCAAUCGUUGAGGCACAUGAGCAGGUUGAUGCUCAGGCAUUUGCUCCUUUGAAACAGGUGACUCGUCAUCCAUUCUGGGCACUUCAUGAGAAGAAAGGGAUGGUGCAUCAAAUCCCAAUUUCGGCUCGUAAAUGAUGUUCAUAUGAUCAAAUGAAUC
rnacentral:lncRNA from 1 species